rnacentral:rRNA from 1 species
AAAUCCCACGGCUCAACCGUGGGGCUUGCUGGGGAUACUGCGGGCCUUGGGACCGGGAGAGGCGGGGGGUACCCCUGGGGUAGGGGUGAAAUCCUAUAAUCCCAGGGGGACCGCCAGUGGCGAAGGCGCCCCGCUGGAACGGGUCCGACGGUGAGGGACGAAGGCCAGGGGAGCGAACCGGAUUAGAUACCCGGGUAGUCCUGGCUGUAAAGGAUGCGGGCUAGGUGUCGGGCGAGCUUCGAGCUCGCCCGGUGCCGGAGGGAAGCCGUUAAGCCCGCCGCCUGGGGAGUACGGCCGCAAGGCUGAAACUUAAAGGAAUUGGCGGGGGAGCACUACAAGGGGUGGAGCGUGCGGUUUAAUUGGAUUCAACGCCGGGAACCUCACCGGGGGCGACGGCAGGAUGAAGGCCAGGCUGAAGGUCUUGCCGGACGCGCCGAGAGGAGGUGCAUGGCCGCCGUCAGCUCGUACCGUGAGGCGUCCACUUAAGUGUGGUAACGAGCGAGACCCGCGCCCCCAGUUGCCAGUCCUCCCCGCUGGGGAGGAGGCACUCUGGGGGGACCGCCGGCGAUAAGCCGGAGGAAGGAGCGGGCGACGGUAGGUCAGUAUGCCCCGAAACCCCCGGGCUACACGCGCGCUACAAUGGGCGGGACAAUGGGAUCCGACCCCGAAAGGGGAAGGGAGUCCCCUAAACCCGCCCUCAGUUCGGAUCGCGGGCUGCAACUCGCCCGCGUGAAGCUGGAAUCCCUAGUACCCGCGUGUCAUCAUCGCGCGGCGAAUACGUCCCUGCUCCUUGCACACACCGCCCGUCACUCCACCCGAGCGGGGUCCGGGUGAGGCUCGGUCUCCCUUCGGGGAGGCCGGGUCGAGCCCGGGCUCCGUGAGGGGGGAGAAGUCGUAACAAGGUAGCCGUAGGGGAACCUACGGCUCGAUCACCUCCU